AACAUGUCUUUUUGAUUUUAAUUUAAAGUCUAAUCUGCCCACUGAUUUAUUAAAGGGCUGCAGUAAUUUGACUGUACAAAGGUAGCAUAAUCAUUAGCCUUUUAAUUGAAGGCUUGUAUGAAAGAUUUGAUGAAAUAUAAACUGUCUCUAAUUUAAAAUUAAAAUUUAAUUUUUUAGUUAAAAAGCUAAAAUAAUUUUAAAAGACGAGAAGACCCUAUAGAGUUUUAUAAUUAAUAAUUUUAAAUAAUUAUAUAAAAUUUUAAUAUUUAAUAUUAUUCAUUAUUUUAUUGGGGUGAUAAAAAAAUUUAAUUAACUUUUUUUCUUGUUUAUCAAAAAUAAAUGAUUAAUUGAUCCUGUUUAAAGAUUAAAAGAAAUAAUUACCUUAGGGAUAACAGCGUAAUAUUUUUUUUUAGUACAAAUAAAAAAAAAAGUUUGCGACCUCGAUGUUGGAUUAAGAUAAAAUUUAAAUGCAAAAGUUUAAAAUUUUGAUCUGUUCGAUCAUUAAAAUCUUACAUGAUC
rnacentral:rRNA from 1 species